UUACUACUGUCUCCGUUCUAAAAUUCUUGUCUUAAAUUUGUCUAGAAAUGAAUGUAUCUAGUCACGUUUUAGUNNUUAGAUACAUUCAUUUUUAGACAAACUUAAGACAAAAAUUAUGAAACGGAGGGAGUACCUU
rfam:Hordeum vulgare subsp. vulgare, WGS project CAJW01000000 data, contig: morex_contig_46151